GCGCUCGUAGCUCACUUGGAUAGAGCACCGGACUUCGAAUCCGUAGGUUGCCGGUUCGAACCCUGCCGAGCGCGUCA
rnacentral:tRNA from 1 species